rnacentral:rRNA from 1 species
AGCGAACGCUGGCGGCAGGCUCAACACAUGCAAGUCGAACGCCCCGCAAGGGGAGUGGCAGACGGGUGAGUAACACGUGGGAACGUACCCUUUGGUUCGGAAUAACUCAGGGAAACUUGAGCUAAUACCGGAUACGUCCGAGAGGAGAAAGAUUUAUCGCCGAAGGAUCGGCCCGCGUCUGAUUAGCUUGUUGGUGAGGUAACGGCUCACCAAGGCGACGAUCAGUAGCUGGUCUGAGAGGAUGAUCAGCCACAUUGGGACUGGGACACGGCCCAAACUCCUACGGGAGGCAGCAGUGGGGAAUAUUGGACAAUGGGCGAAAGCCUGAUCCAGCCAUGCCGCGUGAGUGAUGAAGGCCUUAGGGUUGUAAAGCUCUUUUACCUGGGAAGAUAAUGACGGUACCAGGAGAAUAAGCCCCGGCUAACUUCGUGCCAGCCGCCGCAGUAA